UGAGUGCGAGCGGCUACGGCCGCGAAGUGGGUGAUGUCAAGCUUCCAAGAAAAGCCCUAUACCCGUUAAGGCAUGAUGGCCUGUACCCGAAACCGACACAGGUGGGGUGGUAGAGAAUACCGAGGGGCGCGAGGUAACUCUCUCUAAGGAACUCGGCAAAAUGGCCCCGUAACUUCGGGAGAAGGGGUGCCACCGCAAGGUGGUCGCAGUGAAGAGGCCCAGGCGACUGUUUACCAAAAACACAGGUCUCCGCUAAGUCGCAAGACGAUGUAUGGGGGCUGACGCCUGCCCAGUGCCGGAAGGUUAAGGAAGCUGGUCAGCGCAAGCGAAGCUGGCGACUGAAGCCCCGGUGAACGGCGGCCGUAACUAUAACGGUCCUAAGGUAGCGAAAUUCCUUGUCGGGUAAGUUCCGACCCGCACGAAAGGCGUAACGAUCUGGGCGCUGUCUCGGAGAGAGGCUCGGCGAAAUAGAAUUGUCUGUGAAGAUGCGGACUACGUGCACCCGGACAGAAAGACCCUAUGAAGCUUUACUGUAGCUUGGUAUUGUGCCCGGGCUCUGAAUGCGCAGGAUAGGUGGGAGGCUUUGAUCCAUGGCUUGCGGGUCAUGGUGAGCCAACGGUGAGAUACCACUCUUUCAGAGCUAGGGUUCUAACGGUCACCCGUCAUCCGGGGACCGGACAGUAUCAGGUGGGCAGUUUGACUGGGGCGGUCGCCUCCUAAAAGGUAACGGAGGCGCGCAAAGGUUUGCUCAGGCUGGUUGGAAAUCAGCCGACGAGUGCAAAAGCAGAAGCAAGCUUGACUGUGAGACCUACAAGUCGAACAGGGACGAAAGUCGGCUUUAGUGAUCCGACGGUUCUGAGUGGAAGGGCCGUCGCUCAACGGAUAAAAGUUACUCUAGGAUAACAGGCUGAUCUCCCCCAAGAGUUCACAUCGACGGGGAGGUUUGGCACCUCGAUGUCGGCUCAUCGCAACCUGGGGCUGAAGUCGGUCCCAAGGGUUGGGCUGUUCGCCCAUUAAAGCGGUACGCGAGCUGGGUUCAGAACGUCGUGAGACAGUUCGGUCCAUAUCCGGUGCACGCGCAGGAACAUUGAGAGGAUUUCUCCCUAGUACGAGAGGACCGGGAGGAACGCACCUCUGGUGUGCCAGUUAUCGUGCCAACGGUAAACGCUGGGUAGCCAUGUGCGGAGUGGAUAACCGCUGAAAGCAACUAAGUGGGAAGCCCACCUCAAGAUGAGUGUUCCCAUGGCAUAAGCCAGUAAGGUCACGGGAAGAACACCCGUUGAUAGGCUCUACGUGGAAGCCGGGUAACCGGUGAAGCGGAGGAGUACUAAUAGACCGAGGGCUUGACC
rnacentral:rRNA from 1 species